rnacentral:miRNA from 10 species
AUUAAGUUGGUGCAAAAGUUAUUGCGGUUUUUCCCAAUUACAAAACCAAUGGCAAAAACUGCAGUUACUUUUGCACCAACCUAAUA